rnacentral:rRNA from 1 species
UUAAACCUAAUUAUUAUGGCGGCAUUUCAUCUUAUUAAAGGAACCUGUUUUUUAAUCGACAAUCCACGUUAGUUUUAACUUUAAUUAAAAUUUAUAUACCGCCAUCUAAAAAAUUAAUUUUAUAAUAAUAUUUAUAAUAAAAAAUAAAAAGUUAGGUCAAGGUGUAAUCUAUAUUAAAGUAAAUAAUGGGUUACAUUAAAAAUAAUUUAAGGAUUAUUAUACUAAAAUAUUUUAUAAAAAAGGAUUUAAAAGUAAUAAAAUAAUAAUAUUUUAUUAUG